rnacentral:misc_RNA from 1 species
UCCGGUUUGUCACCAGCGGUCUCGCUAGAGUCCCCGGCUUUACCCGCUGGCAACUAGCGACAAGGGUUUCGCUCGUUAAGGGACUUAGCCCGACACUUCACAGCACGAGCUGACGACAGCCAUGCAGCACCUGUGCACGUUCCACCCGAAGGCGUGGCCCGGCUUUCACCGGGUUAAUCCGUGCAUGUCAAGACUAGGAUAAGGUUCUUCGCGUAGCCUCGAAUUAAGCCACAUCCUCCACCGCUUGUGUGAGCCCCCGUCAAUUUCUUUGAGUUUCAGUCUUGCGACCGUACUCCCCAGGCGGCGAACUUAACGCGUUAGCUUCGAUACUGCGUGCCAAAUUGCACCCAACAUCCAGUUCGCAUCGUUUAGGGCGUGGACUAC